UCGAGGAUCUUCGGCAAUGAGCGCAAGCUUGACCGAGCGACGCCGCGUGAGCGAUGAAGGCCUUCGGGUUGUAAAGCUCUUUAGGGGGGGAGAAAAGCCCGCAAGGGUGUGAUCUAUCCCCAAAAUAAGCACGGGCUAAGUUCGUGCCAGCAGCCGCGGUAAGACGAACCGUGCGAACGUUGUUCGGAAUCACUGGGCUUAAAGGGCGCGUAGGCGGGCUGACAAGUCUGGGGUGAAAUCCCGCGGCUCAACCGUGGAACUGCCUCAGAUACUGUCGGCCUCGAGGGAGGUAGGGGCGUGCGGAACUGUGAGUGGAGCGGUGAAAUGCGUUGAUAUUCACAGGAACUCCGGUGGCGAAAGCGGCGCGCUGGACCUCUUCUGACGCUGAGGCGCGAAAGCUAGGGGAGCAAACGG
rnacentral:rRNA from 1 species